rnacentral:rRNA from 1 species
GAUGAACGCUGGCGGCGUGCCUAAUACAUGCAAGUCGAGCGAGCGGACGAGAAGCUUGCUUCUCUGAUGUUAGCGGCGGACGGGUGAGUAACACGUGGAUAACCUACCUAUAAGACUGGGAUAACUUCGGGAAACCGUAGCUAAUACCGGAUAAUAUUUUGAACCGCAUGGUUCAAAAGUGAAAGACGGUCUUGCUGUCACUUAUAGAUGGAUCCGCGCUGCAUUAGCUAGUUGGUAAGGUAACGGCUUACCAAGGCAACGAUGCAUAGCCGACCUGAGAGGGUGAUCGGCCACACUGGAACUGAGACACGGUCCAGACUCCUACGGGAGGCAGCAGUAGGGAAUCUUCCGCAAUGGGCGAAAGCCUGACGGAGCAACGCCGCGUGAGUGAUGAAGGUCUUCGGAUCGUAAAACUCUGUUAUUAGGGAAGAACAUAUGUGUAAGUAACUGUGCACAUCCUGACGGUACCUAAUCAGAAAGCCACGGCUAACUACGUG